ensembl:miRNA
CAGGAUGCCCAUUUAAAUUUGAAUUUUACAUGUACAAGGAAUACUUUUUCAGUGGUUCAAUCAAUCCCAUGCAAUAUUUAAGACAUACUUAUGCUAAAAAUUAUUCAUUGUUUAUCUUAUCUGAAAUUCAAAUUUAAUUGGGUGUCCUGUA